rnacentral:rRNA from 1 species
UACGUAGGGUGCGAGCGUUAAGCGGAAUUACUGGGCGUAAAGCGUGUGCAGGCGGUUCUGCAAGUCCGUGGGGAAAGCCCCGGGCUCAACCUGGGAAUGGCAGUGGAAACUAGGGGACUGGAAUCUGGCAGAGGGGGGUGGAAUGCCGCGUGUAGCAGUGAAAUGCGUAGAGAUGCGGCGGAACACCGAUGGCGAAGGCAGCCCCCUGGGCUGAGAUUGACGCUCAGGCACGAAAGCGUGGGGAGCAAACAGG